rnacentral:lncRNA from 1 species
CACAGAGGAGAGAGCCCACGCAGGGCGCAUUGUGUCGAGAUCAGCCCCUAGCGACGGUGUUAUAAGGAAUUCAAAACGAAGCACCCCUCUUCGCAAAAAUAUUGCUCGUGACAGGCGUUGCAUGCGCAAUGAACGGUUUUGCUGUUGAUUCCAAGUAGCCUACAGUAUAAAAUGAGUCCGCGUCAUUCCCUGACAUCUUCCUUCGAGAGAGGGCUGGAAUCUCAGUUCCUGGCUAUUGUCAGCCUUGGAAGGAGGAGCCUCUAAAACGGAGACAGGCUGCUGUGGAAAAAGGAUUGUUGACCCUCCCCACCCUGCUCAUUCCCUGAGGACCCGCCCUGUUGCUGGUUGGGUGUCGCUACUCGCUCUGCCUGGUGGUGGCCCUUAGGAGAUUUGAGUCUCGUGCACCUACACACACCCGCUGCGUACAGGUACAUUCAGGUACAUUCAGAUUUAAUUGCUCAGUGGUUGCAUCACUGUGGCACAUAAACAUGGAUUGUACUGUAAGAAUUGGCUAGACAUUGGGAGACAUGGUUUAUCUAUUGUUACCAUAAGAGUUUACACAGAUCACAGCUGAUAUGAUUGUUAUUCAUAGCCCUUGUUGGUAUUGUAAUGUACUGUAUCAGUAUCAGACUCUUACAUCAAUUAGAGUAAGUGUGUGUGGUGACAAGUCAAUUCAAGGCCAUUACAAUCCUGGCCCACACACUUGGAGCAGACAGAGGGUUCUGCCUGCUGAUGAGAGUGCAGCAAUAUUAGUGCUGAAGUCAGUGCUGCAUAAGCAGGGGAGAUUAAAUGUGACCGUCAAUAAAUUGUGUCAAUUGACAGUUAGUUAUUCUUUCCUGCAUGGAUUUCAUGGAUUGAUUUGAGUUGUGGUAAAGAUGAGAUAACUUUGAAUAAACAAUUCAGCGUAAUAAUCUAACAAUGUGUGACCCAUAUUCAUUUCAUGUGUGACAAGAGGAGAAUUGUUCAUGUUGUUUCCAAUGAAGAUAUCACAGAACGUUAUUGCACAUCUUAAAAUACAGCCUAAGUGAUUUAGGGCAAUGAGUCUCUGUAGCUUCACAGAACAAAAAUAUAAACGCAACAUGCAACAAUUUUGAGUUACAUUUCAUAUAAGGAAAUCAGUCAAUUGAAAUAAAUAAUUUAGGCCCUAAUCUAUGGAUUUCACAUUACUGGAAAUACAGCUAUGGAUCUGUUGGUCACAGAUACAGUACCUUUAAAAACAAGCUAGGGGCGUGGAUCAGAAAACCAGUCAGCAUUUGGUGUGACCUUCAUUUGCCUCAUGCAGCGCAACACAUCUCCUUGGCAUAGAGUUGAUCAGGCUGUUGAUUGUGGUCUGUGGAAUGUUGUCCCACUCCUCUUUAAUGGCUGUACGAAGUUGUUGGAUAUUGGCGGGAACUGGAACACGCUGUUGUACAUGCUGAUCCAGAGUAUCCCAAACAUGCUUAAUGGGUGACAUGUCUGUUGAGUAUGCAGGCCUUGGAAGAACAGGGAAAUGUUCAGAUUCCAGGAAUUGUGUACAGAUCCUUGCAACAUGGGGCCGUGCAUUAUCAUGGUGAAACAUGAGGGGAUGGCGGCGUAUGAAUGCCACGACAAUGGGCCUCAGGAUCUUGUCACGGUAUCUCUCAAAUUGCCAUCGAUAAAAUGCAAUUGUGUUCGUUGUCCGUAGCUUAUGCCUGCCCAUACCAUAACCCCACUGCCACCAUGGGGCACUCUGUUCACAACGUUGACAUCAGAAAACCGCUCACCCACACAACGCCAUACAUGCUGUCUGCCAUCUCCCCGGUACAGUUGAAACCGGGAUUUAUCUGUGAAGAGCAC